ACGUAGGGUGCAAGCGUUAUUCGGAUUUAUUGGGCGUAAAGCGCAUGCAGGCGGUUAGGUAAGUCUGAUGUGAAAGCCCUCGACUUAAUCGAGGAAGUGCAUUGGAUACUGCCAAACUAGAGUGCAGGAGGGGUGAGCGGAAUUCCUGGUGUAGAGGUGAAAUUCGUAGAUAUCAGGAGGAACAACAGCGGCGAAGGCGGCUCACUGGACUGCAACUGACGCUCAGAUGCGAGAGCGUGGGGAGCAAACAG
rnacentral:rRNA from 1 species